AUUUAACGCUGGCGGCAGGCCUAACACAUGCAAGUCGAGCGGAUGAGUGCAGCUUGCUCCAUGAUUCAGCGGCGGACGGGUGAGUAAUGCCUAGGAAUCUGCCUGGUAGUGGGGUACAACGUUUCGAAAGGAACGCUAAUACCGCAUAAGUCCUACGCGAGAAAGUGGGUGAUCUUCGGACCUCACGCUAUCAGAUGAGUCUGGGUCGGAUUAGCUAGUUGGUGGGGUAAACGCUCACCAACGCGACGCUCCGUAACUGGUCUGAGAGGCUGAUCAGUCACACUGGAACUGAGACACUGUACAGACACCUACGGGAGGCAGCAAUGGGGAAGAACGUACAAUGGGGGCAACCCUGACCCAGCCAUUCCGCGUGAGUGCAGAAGGCCUUCGGGUUGUAAAGCUCUUUCGGCAGGAACGAAACGGUGGAGGCUAAUACCUUUCAUCAAUGACGGUACCUGAAGAAGAAGCACCGGCUAACUACGUGCCAGCCGCCGCAGUAAGAC
rnacentral:rRNA from 1 species